UGGGCUGCUCUGGGGGGCCUCCUCUGCUGCUUGUGCUGACAGGCUGCACCCCACACCUUGGGAUUCCAGAACAUUGGACAAGGCGCUCAGUCCUACCUGGCUCCCCGCCCCUUGCACAGAGUAACUCCCAGUGCCCAGAGAGGUUGAUGCUGAGACUUCCUUGGGGCCGGAGGGCCUCCUGAGGCUUCUGGGAGGAGAUGGACCAGCCGCAGCUACAGGUGUGUGCUGGCUGUGCCCUUGUCCCACCUCAGUGUGGCCUGGCUGCCUGGGCUUCAGCCCUUCUUGGUCAUUGUCCCUAUCUUGUCCCCCCCACCCCCACCCCCCAUUGGCUUCUUGAUGCUCCGGGCAUUCCCAGGCACUGUCCUGCCUCUGAGCCCCCACACAUGCUGUUCCCUCAGCCCUUCUCCCUCCCCUGGCGACUCUCAUUCCUCCUCCUCUACUACCUUCACCUCCACCUGGGUCCAGCCUGCCUGGUCUCCCAGAGGGACCCGAGCCUUCCUCCGUGCCCCCCUCCCCGGUGCCCUCCUGCCCUCAGCCUUCCUCCGCAUUGGCAGCCUCAGCAGGGGCGGGUUUCACCACCGGGUUUUGUGCCUGCCACCCCGGCCCAGCUUCUCCCAGGCUGGCCGCUGGGUCCUCUGCAGUGACGACCCUGCACCUGGCACCCAGGAAAAGCUCAAUAAACUUUUGCAAAAUA